rnacentral:rRNA from 1 species
CAACGACUUUCGGCAACGGAUAUUUCGGCUCUCGCAUCGAUGAAGAAAGUAGCGAAAUGCGAUACUUGGUGUGAAUUGCAGAAUCCCGUGAACCAUCGAGUCUUUGAACGCAAGUUGCGCCCGAAGCCAUCCGGCCAAGGGCACGUCUGCCUGGGCGUCACACACCGUUGCCCCCCUAAAUCCCUCUGACACUGCCCAAUAUGGUGCAUAGGGACCACGAGUGGCGGAUGAUGGCCUCCCGUGGGCCAAGGCUCGCGGUUGGUCUAAAUUUGAGUCCUCGGUCACGGUUUCUGUGGCGAUAGGUGGUUGUCGAUCAUUCGGUGCCCCGCCACGUUCUCCGGACAAAAGCAUCGAGAGACUCGACAAACUUGACCCCAAUGCGCCCCAUGUGGGUGCUUCCAACGCGACCCCAGGUCAGGCGGGG